CUUCAACGAGGAAUGCCUAGUAAGCGCGAGUCAUCAGCUCGCGUUGACUACGUCCCCGCCCCUUUCACC
rfam:Hordeum vulgare subsp. vulgare, WGS project CAJW01000000 data, contig: morex_contig_1655328